GAUCUAGCCAUGGGCAGGUUGAAGGUUGGGUAACACUAACUGGAGGACCGAACCGACUAAUGUUGAAAAAUUAGCGGAUGACCUGUGGCUGGGGGUGAAAGGCCAAUCAAACCGGGAGAUAGCUGGUUCUCCCCGAAAGCUAUUUAGGUAGCGCCUCGUGAAUUCAUCUCCGGGGGUAGAGCACUGUUUCGGCUAGGGGGCCAUCCCGGCUUACCAACCCGAUGCAAACUGCGAAUACCGGAGAAUGUUAUCACGGGAGACACACGGCGGGUGCUAACGUCCGUCGUGAAGAGGGAAACAACCCAGACCGCCAGCUAAGGUCCCAAAGUCAUGGUUAAGUGGGAAACGAUGUGGGAAGGCCCAGACAGCCAGGAUGUUGGCUUAGAAGCAGCCAUCAUUUAAAGAAAGCGUAAUAGCUCACUGGUCGAGUCGGCCUGCGCGGAAGAUGUAACGGGGCUAAACCAUGCACCGAAGCUGCGGCAGCGAACGUAUCACCCAAGACAACUUUACGGAGUUGACGAUUGACGGAGCGAAGCGACGUCAAAGCGUUCAUUAAAGUCGAGUUGGCUUAGGGAUACGUUCGUUGGGUAGGGGAGCGUUCUGUAAGCCUGUGAAGGUGUGUCGUGAGGCAUGCUGGAGGUAUCAGAAGUGCGAAUGCUGACAUAAGUAACGAUAAAGCGGGUGAAAAGCCCGCUCGCCGGAAGACCAAGGGUUCCUGUCCAACGUUAAUCGGGGCAGGGUGAGUCGACCCCUAAGGCGAGGCCGAAAGGCGUAGUCGAUGGGAAACGGGUUAAUAUUCCCGUACUUGGUGUUACUGCGAAGGGGGGACGGAGAAGGCUAUGUUGGCCGGGCGACGGUUGUCCCGGUUUAAGCGUGUAGGUG
rnacentral:rRNA from 1 species